AUCGAACGCUGGCGGCAUGCUUUACACAUGCAAGUCGAACGGCAGCGGGGGAGAAGCUUGCUUUUCCUGCCGGCGAGUGGCGAACGGGUGAGUAAUACAUCGGAACGUGCCCUGUAGUGGGGGAUAACUAGUCGAAAGAUUAGCUAAUACCGCAUACGACCUGAGGGUGAAAGUGGGGGACCGCAAGGCCUCAUGCUAUAGGAGCGGCCGAUGUCUGAUUAGCUAGUUGGUGGGGUAAAGGCCUACCAAGGCGACGAUCAGUAGCUGGUCUGAGAGGACGAUCAGCCACACUGGGACUGAGACACGGCCCAGACUCCUACGGGAGGCAGCAGUGGGGAAUUUUGGACAAUGGGCGAAAGCCUGAUCCAGCAAUGCCGCGUGUGUGAAGAAGGCCUUCGGGUUGUAAAGCACUUUUGUCCGGAAAGAAAUGGCUCUGGUUAAUACCUGGGGUCGAUGGCGGUACCGGAAGAAUAAGGACCGGCUAACUACGUGCCAGCAGCCGCGGUAACAC
rnacentral:rRNA from 1 species